rnacentral:tRNA from 1 species
GCCUGGGUGGCUCAGUCGGUUGAGCAUCUGACUUUGACUCAGGUCAUCUCCCACUCAGGUC